rfam:Schistosoma rodhaini strain Burundi genome assembly, scaffold: SROB_contig0004786
GCACUGCUGAAGAGUCCCAUGGUGGGACGAAACGGUCGUCCAGUGC